GGCUGCAAGGGACUGUAAAGAUCAUCCAGUUUCAACCCCCCUGCCACGGGCAGUGACACCUUCCACAAGACCAGGUUGUUUAAAGCCCCAUCGAUCCUGGCCUUGAAGGGGCUUCCACAACUUCUCUGGGAAACCUGUUCCACUGCCUCACCACCCUCACAGUGAAGAAUUUCUUCCCAACAUCUAAUCCAAACCUAAUCUAAAUUCUGUCAGUUUAAAGCCAUUAUAACCCUCGUCCUAUCGCUACAUCCUUUGUAAAAAAUCCUUCUCCCGCCCUCUUGUGGGCACCCUUUAAGUACUGGAAGGUGCUCUGAGGUCUCCCUGCAGCCUUCUCUUCUCCAGGCUGAACAACCCCAGCUGUCUGCACAAGAGAGAUGCUCCAGACCUCUAAGAAUCUUUGUGACCCUCUCUGGAGCUGCUCCAACACUUCACUUCCUUCUUUUAUCCACAUACCCACCACUUCCCUCUAGUCCUUAUCCCUGCGGCUCCCGGGCUCUGCCCUUUGGUUACCCUGCCCUGCGUGAGGGAGCAGCUCGGCCACUCUCCUUCCCGCGCUCCGGGGCGGCGCUUCCCCGCCGGGCCUGCUCCCCGGCAUUCCCGGCAUGUGGAGGAGGCUCUCCCGCUCCAGCCGCCCGAAUUGUGACCUGGGAAUAUAAAGAGAAGACUGCACAAGGGAGAUUUCUUUGGAUGGCUGGAAGGCGCCCAAGAUCUGAAGAAGGAGAUUGAGACAUCUUUAUCUAUUCAGCUUUACUCCAGGCCCUGCUUACUGACAGUUCCUCUGGGUGUCCUCAGGCCAACACAGCUGUGCUGAGAUAGGCACUGCUACAGCAGCCACUCUCAGGUACUGCCAGUUCCCAUCCUCCUUCGCUCUGGUUUGAAACCAGGUUAGCAAAAUCAGGUUUUAAAACAUUGAGUACAAUAGGGAAGAUCAGUUCCAGGUGACUCAAAGCCUUCCCACUUUUGCCCUUCCCUUUACUACUUACCCUUUCUGACAUCAGUGCAGUAGAAGGAAACAGAAUCUCACAUGCAGGACUCUUCUCUGAACUUCAGCGCUCCAGUUUUCAAUGAUGAAAAUUUUCAAGAAUUGUCAGGACAAGAGGGUAUAGACUCAAGCUCCACCAGGGAGGUUCAGGUUGGACAUCUGUAAGAAUCUUUUCACUGAAAGGGUUUUUUAAACAUUGGAAGAGGCAGCCCAGGGAGGUGGUGGAGUCACCAUCCCUGGAAGUGUUGAAGAAACAAAUGGACCUGGCAAUUAUUGCUACAGUUUAGUUGGCGUGGUGGUGUUUGGUCAAAUGUUGGACUCAUGAUCUUGGUGGUAUUUCCCAACCUUUAAGAUUCUGUGACUCUAUGAUUCUAUUAAUUGAGCAUUUACACAUGCCUUCAUCUCCAUGUCCCUGCACAGACAGUUAAUUGAAUGGGGUGAUCCUUAUUUUGGGAGAAUAUUCUUCUCCAAUAUUCUUCCCAAAAGGUUUUACAUGCUAAUGUACAGUGGUGAAGUGUUGCUUAAAUGCUAAAUGAUGGUAUUCUGAUAAACUACAAAUCUUUGUGGUCUUCAUGAGAGCAGUAAGAGGCAUUUCUUACUGCCAGCAUCCCUCUGCUGCUCAUGGAUUCAGGGAAGAAGGUAAUAACUUAGGCAGAAAGGGAGCAAAGAGUUUACAAGUGAAAUCAUUCUUGACACUAAACCAGAGAAAAGUUGGAGUGUAAUAACAGCUAAAAGAUUGUUAGAUGUUUUUUUAGCUCACAAAAAUGUGGAGAAGCAGGUCAAUGUAAAAGAAAAGAGCUCUAAAAAUAUUUCCCCAUUUUCUUGUAUUCUCAUAAUAAAACUAAAACUACAUUUUAGAAUUUAAAACCACAAUUUUCUAAUUCUUGCACUCUAAACAUUCUGAGCUUUUUCUAGCUGUCUAUUGUACACUUAUCUGUUAAAUAUUGACUUUUAAAGUAUUUUCUCUUUGUCACUGCUUUUGAUGAUGCUGUGAUUCUGCCCAAACUUUAAAAGCAUCCAUCUAAUCUGGGAUGAAAAUGUAAAUGUCUGAAAGAUAAAUGUAAUUUAAAACUAUUUGUGCUAAACACUGUAUAUCAAGGUGUAAAGAAGAAGCAAUAUAAUAGUUAUCAAAUAUUAAUAGGGUAACUUGGUGUUUUGUUGUUUUCAUGAUUCAAGCAAAGAGAAAAGUAAAAAAGUAAACAAGCUCUUGAAUGACCUGCUGUAUGUUUAGCUGUGUCUUUUUAUAAUAACCUACUAUAUUUUGUAGUCACAACAAACAUUAUAUAGUUUACUGCCUAUAAAGUCCCUUUUAAAGUGCAUGCUAUGUCAAGAAAGGGGUUAGUAGGUACAAUUAAUUUUUAGUACUUGGAAUUAUUCCCAAUAGAAAAAGAUAAAAUUUCUUCAUGGUUAUUUUAAAGUGCAGCACACAGACAACCCCUUUAGGGCUAAUAAAUUGCUCUGUUCUUUACUAUGCUCAAUAAAAGAGAAUUUUGAUGCUCACUGCCUGCAAUUUGAUUUCCUUUGCGGCACAUUCUAAAUUCCUUAGUGAGACAAAACAUGAAUGAAGUUUGAAUGCCAGGACUCCAGAUAUCAACUCUUAUCAUAUAUCCCUAAUCUCUUUUACUUUCAAGGAUCAGAGCUUGUCUCUAGCACAGAGCUUGUCUUAAAAAUGACAAGAUCACUAUUUUAAGUUGUGAGCUAUGUGGGUUUCCCACUUAGUGUUUGAGCCUCUAGGAUGAAAAUUCACAGUCCCAUUCCAGCAGUCAAAGCUGCUACAAGGGAAGGUUUUAAUAUAAUCAGGUAACUUGGAGAGCAUCACCAAAAAUGUUUGAUACAGUGGGAUCAAGUCAGUUAUGGGAGUGGACUGUACUUUCUAUAGAGCAGAUAGUCUCUAAAAAUUGGCUGGAUCUUUCCUUUUUUUUUUUUUGUGGUGGGAAUGUCAUAGUGGCUUCCACUGACAUACUUUCUGAUUUCCCAGGAAUCCCAUUGUAUGGUAGCAAUAAGCAAAUUUGAUUUAAUUUAAUAAUGCAGUAUUCUGGAUAGAGUUUUGUACUUGUCUUUUAAAGAGGGAGGCGUGCUCAAAUCAGAACAGUAAUCAUUCAAAGCUCCAAUGUUGUCCUCUCUUGUAUUCUCCAUUGAGUCGUCAUUUCAUUUCAAUAAAUGCUUGGCUAAAAACAGAAGCAGAUGGUUGCAAUCUUAGUUAGAAGGGUUAGGAGUUUUUUUUAAAACUACACUACACAAGAAACCACUUUAAGGCCAAUAAUUUGCUCUGUUCUUUACCAUGCUCAAUAAAAAAGACCUUCCUUGCUCUGAAGAGGUUUUUGUCUUAGAUAAAAAGGGUGAC
ensembl:lncRNA